GCGGCCCUGGGUCUCUUUUCUUUUUUAAUGAAACCCCACAGUUUCAUUUCUCUCCUCACUGUGUUUUUGCUGAUCUGUACAAAUGAAAUUAGUCAAAGGAAACAGGAGUUGUUGAUUUUACCCAACCUUCUAAAGUAUAUGAGAACGUGAAGCAGGUAGCAUCUUCAUCUUUCUUCCCCAUUUGGCAAACAUCAAACUUUUUUUUUUCUUUUCUCUGAUGGGCCCUUCUAUCUCCUCUGCAAAUAUUCGAGACCCAAAUCUUCAUCUUUGCCUUGUUUCUUUUUUCAAUUUAGGCAACUUCAUUUGGUAUGAGAAGUGAGGUUUAUGUUCCUGGAAUAAAAGUUGACACAGUGACUGCAUUAUCUCUGUGAGAAAGCAAGCAUGGAUGUGCCAUCUUCAGAUGCAUCUCAAAUAGCUAACAACCUCUCAAACUUGGGCCAGAACUGCAACAGAGAAGAUAUUUCAACCGGAGACUGGCAAAGGGACAAGAUGUUGGAGAAGAUCGAGUUCGAGUGUACAGCCUAGUUCUUCCAGAGCAUCCUUCCAGCACCAAUGUCUACUUCUGGAGAGGUAAGUUCUAGCUCGUGUUUCUGUUCUUAUCUAACUAACAUUAGGGAAGUUGCAAGCCACUCAUUCAACAACCAGAAUGGUUGUUGAGAGGGAGUUUCAUGUUGGCUAAUUAAGGAGAUGAUUAUGGAUUUAUAACUAAGGAAUACAUCUCCUUGAUAAGCAAAGUCAUGAGAGCUUGUGCUCAAAGUGGACAAUAUCAUACCAUUGUGGAGGUUUGUGGUUCCUAACAUCUGCAAUCAAAGUGGUAGGUGUUUUCCUUCCCCAACACGUAUCAUGGUUUGCACCACAGGUUUACACUCUCAAACAUGAUGUUACAAAUGUGCAAUGUCUAGUACCAGGCUUGUUAUUGGCAAUUAGAAAGGUGGUGCGUCUUAAGGUACCUAAACACACGUCAGUAUAUGCACCUCAAAUUUUCUUGAAUGAUCUUCAUCCUGUAUUGUGUCAAACUAUCGCCUUUCUGUGCUACUUUGGCAGAAUCUGGUAUACGGCUGGGAGAAAUUUUUAGAAGGCUUCGAAGGCUCUCUCCUAGUAGCUCAAUCUGAAACUUCAUCUCCGUUGUUCAUUGGACGGAGUGACCUUUCGACCUGAUAACAAAAAGAAGAGUCAGGAGCUCAAGUUAGAGAGAAUUGAAAGAUAACUUUUUGUUUUUCAUUUUCCUUGUGUACAUGGAGAAAUUAAAUUAUAGUUCUUAAAGAAGGGUACCUCUAAAAAGGGUCACUGUGAUA